rnacentral:rRNA from 1 species
UACGGAGGGUGCAAGCGUUGCUCGGAAUCACUGGGCGUAAAGCGACCGCAGGCGGCCUGACAAGUCGGAUGUGAAAGCCCUGGGCUCAACUCAGGAAUUGCAUUCGAAACUGGCAGGCUCGAGUACGGGAGAGGGGGGUGGAAUUCCUGGUGUAGUGGUGAAAUGCGUAGAGAUCGGGAGGAACACCCGCGGCGAAGGCGGCCACCUGGACCAGACCUGACGCUGAGGCGCGAAGGCCGGGGGAGCGAACGGG